rnacentral:rRNA from 1 species
UACGGAGGAGGCAAGCGUUAUCCGGAAUUAUUGGGCGUAAAGCGUCCGCAGGUGGCUGGAUAGCAAGUCUGUCGUCAAAGACCGGGGCUUAACCCUGGGAAGGCGGUGGAAACUGCACAGCUAGAGAGAGGUAGGGGUAGAGGGAAUUCCCGGUGUAGCGGUGAAAUGCGUAGAGAUCGGGAAGAACAUCGGUGGCGAAAGCGCUCUACUGGACCUAAUCUGACACUCAGGGACGAAAGCUAGGGGAGCGAAUGGG